GAUGAACGCUGGCGGCGUGCCUAAUACAUGCAAGUCGAGCGAACGGACGAGAAGCUUGUUCUUCUGAUGUUAGCGGCGGACGGGUGAGUAACACGUGGAUAACCUACCUAUUAGACUGGGAUAAUUUCGGGAAACCGGAGCUAAUACUGGAUAAUAUUUUGAACCGCAUGGUUCAAAAGUGAAAGACGGUUUUGCCGUUACUUAUAGAUGGAUCCGCGCUGCAUUAGCUAGUUGGUAAGGUAACGGCUUACCAAGGCAACGAUGCAUAGCCGACCUGAGAGGGUGAUCAGCCACACUGGAACUGAGACACGGUCCAGACUCCUACGGGAGGCAGCAGUAGGGAAUCUUCCACAAUGGGCGAAAGCCUGACGGAGCAACACCGCGUGAGUGAUGAAGGUCUUCGGGUCGUAAAACUCUGUUAUUAGGGAAGAACAUAUGUGUAAGUAACUGUGCACAUCUUGACGGUACCUAAUCAGAAAGCCACGGCUAACUACGUG
rnacentral:rRNA from 1 species